rnacentral:lncRNA from 1 species
CGCCCCUAGCGGCCAUUUUAGGUAUCCGCAGUAGUGGUGCUGUGCUAUGGUCGUGGACGGCGCGGGUUCCUUUUGUCCAGGUUUCUUGGCCGUGAAGCAUGAGGUGACACGUCCCUGAGAUGUGGUGUGGCACAUCUCACUGAAUGCCAUGAUGCGCUCUGGCACCGGGCUUCAAAGCAAAGCAAUGCAAAGCAAAGCAGAAGGAGAAGUGCUUGCAGCUGCCCCAGCAAAGAGUGGCUGGGACACGGUCCUGCGUGAAGGCAAGUCCGUACUCCAGCUCGUAGGAAGCUUCCUCCACUCACAACAGAGGAGACAAAAUGCCCGGAGAAAGUGAGGUGUUUAUUGUGAUGGGGGACAGAUGAGGCUGGAAGGGACCUCUGGAGACCAUCUAGUCCCACCUCCAUGUGCAAAGCAAGAAAUCAAAGUCAGGGAUGGGAAUAAAAGCAACAGAGACUUUGCUUGUACAAAACCAGCCCAGCACAAGGAAGUUAUCAGCAGCGGUGGACAUAGCCAGAGGAGCAAGGACAGUCAGAAAACCUGCUGGUCAAGUGGCAGCCCGGCUGUACCUCCUAGCUUACGUCCUUUUUGGGUAAUGAAAGAAGCUACAGUUUCUUAAAGGAAGGACAGAGGAACAUCCUCUUCAGACUGACACAAAAAGGGUUAAAGAGAGAACAGCCUGGGCUGAGC